rnacentral:rRNA from 1 species
UGAGCAAUCUGCCCUUCUCUUUGGAAUAAGCGUUGGAAACGACGUCUAAUGCCGAAUACGACCUCCUUUCGCAUGAUCGGAGGUGGAAAGCUCCGGCGGAGAAGGAUGAGCUCGCGGCCUAUCAGCUAGUUGGUGUGGGUAAUGGCCCACCAAGGCGACGACGGGUAGCUGGUCUGAGAGGAUGGCCAGCCACACUGGGACUGAGACACGGCCCAGACCUCGUACCGGGGAGG